AGCUGCCAAUUUAUAAUACAUUUCCUCUGCUUCAAUAUUUAAAGUCGUUUGAAUUAUAUUGGAAGAAAUCAAUCCACCAACUUAGAACUUAGAGCAAUACAGAACCACAGAUUGGUUGAGAUUGGCUUGUCCUUCGUGUGUCUGAAAAUCCAGGAUUAGUUGCUCCAUACCUUUCCCAUGGAUCUAGGAUCCUGUGAGGAUUAAACCAACACCAGUGACUCUGGAGUGCUGAGAACGGGCAAAAGCAUCCCAUAAGAUUUCUGGAUCCCAUAGGUACAGUUUAUUUGGUGAUUUAUGGAUAUGAAUAUCUUUUUCAAUAUCUUUUCAUGGGCCUCAGGCUCUGCUGAGAAAUCUGAGGGGAAAAACAGGAUAUGCAAGGUGCCUGCAGGUGUGGAGCAGGACACAAUGAUCCCAUAAGGUAGUGCAAAGACAGAUUGAACUAUCAGAUUUUACAAUUACAAAAUGUGGUGUUGAUCAAAACAUAAACAUUUUGCAGGUACAAAUAAAUUUCUGUAAUAGUAUUUCUUGGGGAAAAACAAACAAAAAACCCUUUUCAAUAAAGAAGAAAGGUUCUGUUUCAACAACUGUAAAAACCAA